ACAGCAGUAGCCGCGGGAAUACGGAGGGUGCAAGCGUUAAUCGGAAUUACUGGGCGUAAAGCGUGCGUAGGCGGUUCGUUAAGUCUGUUGUGAAAGCCCCGGGCUCAACCUGGGAAUGGCAAUGGAUACUGGCGAGCUAGAGUGUGUCAGAGGAUGGUGGAAUUCCCGGUGUAGCGGUGAAAUGCGUAGAGAUCGGGAGGAACAUCAGUGGCGAAGGCGGCCAUCUGGGACAUCACUGACGCUGAGGCACGAAAGCGUGGGGAGCAAACAGGAUUAGAUACCCGCGUAGUCCCUGUCUCUUAUAC
rnacentral:rRNA from 1 species